CGCUGUCCCUGUGUCACAGCAGGGCAGCCUGGCUCCACCGCUGCUCCUUCAGUGCCGUAAGGAAGGAGAGCAGUCCUGUUCCGUGGCUGAAGCGCUGGCUUGGCAGCCUUUAUCUCUCUAGGCCGAGAGUGGGGAUUUGUGAGCCUGAAAUUCGAAGUGAAACGGGUAGAUAUCCCCGUAGGGUUGGGGCUGCCGAGUUUCAUAUGGUGCUAGUAAAAAAAAAAAAAGUGUCUCUGGAAUAAAAAUCUGUCUGUGUCUCGAGGCAGCUGUGGGCACCUCCAGCCAGCACCUGAUUCACUCACGAACAGUUACCUGCGAGGCAUCUCAGCUGGCAGACACUUGUCCGAGGCGCCGGAGGCCGCAUGGGCUGUUUUCAGUUUAAUCUAUUUUUAAUGUGGCGCCUUAUUCCAAACUGCUGAGUUCUCACAUUUCCAAGCCGUCAUGGUAAUGGGAUUGUGCAGCCUUAUUGGCUAGAGUUUUCCACCCCCGGUGCCAAAAGUUAGGCUCCUAAAUCCAUAUUUAAAUGCCUAAAUGAGGCUGACGAAUCCUGCAGGAGUCGGUAGGAACUGGACGUGGUCUGCACCUUGGAAAAUAACCAGGCCGUUGGGUGUGUGAGCAGAGCCGUGCUGUAGGCACCCGGAUGGUCAGGUGUGGGCCACUGCAUGGGCUGUUUGAGCCCAACUGUGAGCACUGCAUCCCCAGUGCCUGAACGGUUCCAAUACGGGGCAUGCUGCUCAGCCCUGCUGGGCCUGCUAUGAGAUGAAACUUCACAGCCUGCUGGUGUGUGAAGUGCUCUGAAGGGGCACUGGAGUCAUGUUUUUAUCCAGGAUGGCUGUGUGUCAGUGUGAGGGAGGGAGGUGAGAUCGGUGCAAGCAGGAGAAAUGGGAUACACAGAGGAUCGUAGCAAGUGCCCAUCCUUUGCAUUGGCUUUGUGUCUGCACUGCUUCCGUACCCGUGAUCUAACACUGCAUAUUUUUACUUUGCCACCUUCUUCUGCUAUUUCUAUUUGUAGCACCCUGCUAGACUUGUUUCCAAGCCAAUCCAAAAUUCUUCUGAAACUCCCUAUGCUAACAGCAGCAUGAAAGCAGAACUCGGCAG
rnacentral:lncRNA from 1 species